GCGCCGGUGGUGUAAGGCGAACAUCGCUGCCCGGAAAGCAGAAGAUGCGGGUUCGAGUCCCGCCUGGCNNN
rnacentral:tRNA from 1 species